rnacentral:rRNA from 1 species
UACGUAGGGGGCAAGCGUUGUCCGGAUUUAUUGGGCGUAAAGAGCGUGUAGGCGGCUUUACAGGUCCGUUGUGAAAACUCGAGGCUCAACCUCGAGACGCCGGUGGAAACCGUAAGGCUAGAGUCCGGAAGAGGAGAGCGGAAUUCCUGGUGUAGCGGUGAAAUGCGUAGAUAUCAGGAGGAACACCUGUGGUGUAGACAGCUUACUGGACCAUUUCUGACGCUGAGACACGAAAGCGUGGGUAGCAAACAGG